rnacentral:tRNA from 3 species
AAACUUAGGAUAACGCCCCCUUAAACCGAAG